AGAGUUUGAUCCUGGCUCAGAACGUACGCUGGCGGCACGCCUAACACAUGCAAGUCGAACGCAGUAGCAAUACUGAGUGGCAGACGGGUGAGUAACAUGUGGGAAUCUGCCUUGUGGUUCAGGACAACAUUGGGAAACCGAUGCUAAUACUGGAUAAGCCCUUACGGGGAAAGUUUUAAUGCCAUAAGAUGAGCCCGCAUUUGAUUAGUUAGUUGGUGAGGUAAUGGCUCACCAAGACAAUGAUCAAUAGCUGAUCUGAGAGGAUGAUCAGCCACACUGGGACUGAGACACGGCCCAGACUCCUACGGGAGGCAGCAGUGGGGAAUCUUGCACAAUGGAGGAAACUCUGAUGCAGCGAUGCCGCGUGAGUGAAGAAGGCCUUUGGGUUGUAAAGCUCUUUUGUAGGGGAAGAUAAUGACUGUACCCUAAGAAUAAGGUCCGGCUAACUUCGUGCCAGCAGCCGCGGUAAUACGAGGGGAGCUAGCGUUGUCCGGAAUUAUUGGGCGUAAAGAGCUCGUAGGUCGUUUGUUACGUCGGAUGUGAAAACCUGAGGCUCAACCUCAGGCCUGCAUUCGAUACGGGCAAACUAGAGUUUGGUAGGGGAGACUGGAAUUCCCGGUGUAGCGGUGGAAUGCGCAGAUAUCAGGAGGAACACCAAUGGCGAAGGCAGGUCUCUGGGCCAAUACUGACACUGAGGAGCGAAAGUCUGGGGAGCGAACAGGAUUAGAUACCCUGGUAGUCCAGACCGUAAACGGUGGGCACUAGUUGUGGGAACCUUCCACGGUUUCUGCGACGCAGCUAACGCAUUAAGUGCCCCGCCUGGGGAGUACGAUCGCAAGAUUAAAACUCAAAGGAAUUGACGGGGCCCCGCACAAGCAGCGGAGCAUGCGGCUUAAUUCGACGCAACGCGAAGAACCUUACCAAGGCUUGACAUAUAGGGAAAAGUGGCAGAGAUGUCAUGUCCGCAAGGGCCCUAUACAGGUGGUGCAUGGUUGUCGUCAGCUCGUGUCGUGAGAUGUUGGGUUAAGUCCCGCAACGAGCGCAACCCUCGUUCUGUGUUGCCAGCAUUUAGUUGGGGACUCACAGGGGACUGCCGGGGUUAACUCGGAGGAAGGUGGGGAUGACGUCAAAUCAUCAUGCCCCUUAUGUCUUGGGCUGCACGCAUGCUACAAUGGCCGGUACAGAGGGCUGCAAUACCGUAAGGUGGAGCGAGUCCCAAAAAGCCGGUCUCAGUUCGGAUUGAGGUCUGCAACUCGACCUCAUGAAGUUGGAGUUGCUAGUAAUCGUAGAUCAGCAUCGCUACGGUGAAUACGUUCCCGGGGCUUGUACACACCGCCCGUCACGUCACGAAAGUCGGUAACACCCAAAGUCAGUGGCCCAACCGCAAGGGGGGAGCUGCCUAAGGUGGGAUCGGUGAUUGGGACGAAGUCGUAACAAGGUAGCCGUAA
rnacentral:rRNA from 1 species